rnacentral:lncRNA from 1 species
CCAUCCACAAUUAACUGAGGCCAAAAGUAUUUGACUAACCAUCCCAUGCCAAAAGGUGAUAUCUUCAUCAGAAGCAUAAAAAAUCUCAUGUUUCAGACUUUGACAAGUAUCAAGAUGUCAACAUGAUAACAUACAGCUCCAGACACAUGUCAGGGUCAUGCCAUGAUGAUUUCAUUAUAUACCCACCCACUAGAAGUUCUGGAUAAGAUCCCUUGAAAAAAGAUUGCUGUAGAAUCAGAUGCCACUCACUAAAAAAGGGGUUGAUUCUAAAAGAACAUGGGCAAGAAAGAAUUUCACUACUAAUUAUCUGCGCACUUCAGUAACUUUCUUUACAACCUUUUCCAUUCAGCUUAUCAUUUGGAAGAGGCUCACUUAAGAACAAACCCAGUAAUCAAAUAACAUCCAAUGAAAUCUUUCAAGACUUUAAAUCUUCACUUAUGGAACAAAAACUCCCUUCCAUUCAGUGCAGUCAUGAGAAGGUACAGAUGUUUACACAGAUAAGAAUUUAAUAGAAUAGAUCAACAUAGAUGUGGAAGCUAAAAGAGUUCCGUAGGUACAGUUAGAGAAGAUGUAGCAUCCUAUAUUAACCAAAUACAUGUCUCAUAGGAAAGAUCUACAGGAAAAAGAGGAUUUUUAUAAUUGACCUAGGUAGUUAAGUUACAAAGCCAUGGCCGACCCUCCACUGCACUAAAGAUUUGUUCCAUCCCACCUCAUAUGAAACAUUCUCAGAAGAAAGAACACAAUCGAAUGGCCAUGAGAAUUCCAUCCCACUUCUCCCCACAAGCUUAAUCAACAUUUAAACAAAACAUCAGCAAUAUACUUCCAAAAUAGAAGAAACGAGUUCAUAAGAAUUUCUAUAUAUUCUCAAAGGUUCUUCUGUAUAUAAUGGAUUAGAUUGCAACGAAAUCAAAAAAAUUAAUUAACCAACUCAACUCUGUUUUCUAGGAUUCUAAGUUAUCAUAACUUAAGAGUGUUAACAACUGUGAGUUGUACAUUAAAAGAAACUCACGAGGUAAAAAGAACCAAUACGUAUUACCAAAUAAAGAAAAUGAAACUUGAUAUCGGAUCUACUAUUACACUUUCUCCCAGCUCAUCAUGAUUUUCCUUUAGAUACAUGUUUCCAUGUUUCAAUAUUAUUAAUCGUAUGAAUAACUAAUAAGCAAAGCUUUACAAGAGCACCAUCUAGGCCAUAUCUUCCAUCAAUUUUCAUUUUUGGCCCCUUGUGCUUUCGGACUUUCAACUUCUCUUGUUAGUCAUUCCUAGAUUAUCAGACCAUGUACGUUGCAUUUGUUCUCAAAUUAAUAAAUAAAAUUAAAGACUGACAGGUAGCUGCGGGAUUGGUGGAGUGUGUAAUUUGCAGUUAAACCUUAAUAAGUUCAAGUUUGAUGUAUAGCCGAAGAUAUUUAGCUUGAUUUCCUUUUAUGAUGUAUGUAUGAAUUAUAUAACAUUUUAAUGAGUACGUUAAACCAUUGAACUAUUACCCCCUACCAAACCCCAAAGUUGUAUUUAAGCUUUUCAAUCAAAUACUCCAAUCACACUGAAACAAAUUGAAAUCAGAUAAUUUGAAAUCUACAACAAACAAUGCUGUUAACAAAAAUAAAAUGUGAAAGAUAAGAACCUGUCUCAAUUCAGGAGCUUUGGUUUUUGUCAUGUUCCAUAACAUACCUGUAAAUGAAAAAAGGCAAGAGAACAACGAUCAAACAAAGCCCCAAGCUCACUUUACUAAACAUAAUAACAAGUUAACAUCAGCCGCUGCAUAUCGUCGCCGGGUCAUGCCGCUGUUGAUGGCCCUGGUGAGGCGUGUCGUGAGGGAGUGGAGGGGAGAGAGUGAGUGAAGAGGGAGAGGGAGCCAUGAGGUGAGGGCGUGAGUGAAGAGGGAGGAAAGAGGAAAUUGGUUUUCCGUGUGAGAUG